UGGGGAAUAUUGGACAAUGGGCGAAAGCCUGAUCCAGCCAUGCCGCGUGAGUGACGAAGGCCUUAGGGUUGUAAAACUCUUUCGUCGGGGACGAUAAUGACGGUACCCGAAGAAGAAGCUCCGGCUAACUUCGUGCCAGCAGCCGCGGUAAUACGAAGGGAGCUAGCGUUGUUCGGAAUCACUGGGCGUAAAGCGCACGUAGGCGGAUAGUUAAGUCAGGGGUGAAAUCCUGGGGCUCAACCCCAGAACUGCCUUUGAUACUGGCUGUCUCGAGGUCGAGAGAGGUUGGUGGAAUUCCUAGUGUAGAGGUGAAAUUCGUAGAUAUUGGGAAGAACACCAGUGGCGAAGGCGGCUAACUGGUCCGGUACUGACGCUGAGGUGCGAAAGCGUGGGGAGCAAACAGGAUUAGAUACCCUCGUAGUCCCUGAGCGGGCUGGCAAGGCGCAU
rnacentral:rRNA from 1 species